AUUGAACGCUGGCGGCAGGCUUAACACAUGCAAGUCGAACGAGUGGCGGACGGGUGAGUAAUGCUUGGGAAUCUAGCUUAUGGAGGGGGAUAACUACGGGAAACUGUAGCUAAUACCGCGUACUAUAGGAUGAGCCCAAGUGGGAUUAGGUAGUUGGUGAGGUAAAGGCUCACCAAGCCGACGAUCUCUAGCUGGUCUGAGAGGAUGACCAGCCACAAUGGGACUGGGACACGGCCCAGACUCCCACGGGAGGGAGCAGGGGGGAAAAUUGCGCCAUGGGGGCAACCCUACACAGCCAUGCCGCGUGGAUUAAGAAGGCCUUCGGGUUGUAAAGUUCUUUCGGUAGCGAGGCGUUAACUACAGAAGAAGCACCGGCUAACUCCGUGCCAGCAGCCGCGGUAAUAC
rnacentral:rRNA from 1 species